rnacentral:rRNA from 1 species
UACGGAGGGGGCUAGCGUUGUUCGGAAUUACUGGGCGUAAAGCGCGCGUAGGCGGCUUUGUAAGUUAGAGGUGAAAGCCCGGAGCUUAACUCCGGAACUGCCUUUAAGACUGCAUCGCUAGAAUCGUGGAGAGGUGAGUGGAAUUCCGAGUGUAGAGGUGAAAUUCGUAGAUAUUCGGAAGAACACCAGCGGCGAAGGCGGCUCACUGGCCCGAUACUGACGCUGAGGCACGAAAGCGUGGGGAGCAAACAGG